GGGCUUAUAGCUCAGCUGGUUAGAGCGCACGCCUGAUAAGCGUGAGGUCAGUGGUUCAAGUCCACUUAGGCCCACCA
rnacentral:tRNA from 1 species